GAGGAAGACCCAAUCUUUUGAUGGCCCUCAUGAUCAAUAAUGUUAUUUCAGAUAAAAGCAAGCAAAUCUAACUGUAAUCUGAAAUAUUGCAUCCUAGUAGAGGGAAAUAUGUAAAGUUCCAAAUCCGACUUAUUGACUAUUAUCUGCAGAUGAUCAUGAAAAUUAGAGGAGGGGAUGAAGUGUAUGUUGUAAUAACAAAAUGCCUCUGAAAUAUAUAGAACUUGACAUAGCUGUUAAAUGAGUAGAUGCAAGAAAAGCUGCUCGUUGAAUGUGUAAGUUAUUAGUGGUGCCUCUUUGGCUCUUUCUAGCAUUAGCAACUAUCUAACUUUUUAAAAAA
rnacentral:misc_RNA from 1 species